AAAACUAAAGGCCCAAAUCCAAUUGGAUCUCAGUGAAAUUGUUGGUCCAUUUCUAAUAAAAGAUUUUGGGCCUUUGUUAAAAUGAUGGCAAAUCAGCCCGGCAUAAAUUCUUCUCCCUCGCCACUUCUUUCGCUGACCCUAUCCACCUCCUUUUCGGAAUACCAGAUCAAGAGAUGAAUUAGCGGAUCACAGGGCUAAGUCGAAGCAUGCCUGAACCUUCUUUAGUUUAGUAGUGAGCCGUACCGAGCAGCUCCUAGCAAGGGCUUCAAGAUCAUAGUAAUGCCUGCAAAAAUUUUCCUUGGGUACGAAUGUCAUGUUCAAAGCUGCUUUCUCUAGACACCAUGGAAAAGAUCACUGACGAGCUCAACAAUUGUAAAUUGUUAGCUUCGACCUUUUUGUUAGAUAUUGAACGUGGACGAAAAACAAUAUAAUAAGAGGAAAAAGCGACACGUAAGUUAACUUUUGAAGCAAUCAAAGGAUAUAAUUGGCUUUAGUGCAUAUAAAAGUUGGAGAAUCAGAGAGAAAGAGAGAGAGAGCAAAGAAUGAACUUUGUGUGCAUCUGAAGAACAACCUUUGGCUUACUAAGUGCAAAGAUUAGAGAUAUUAGCUGCAAAGCCAUGCCCUACGCCUUCUCUCCUUGCUCCUCACAUAUAUAUUUUCUUUUUAAAAAAUAAAAAAGAAUAUCAUUAAUCCAAUUUCAGUUUCAGACUUUCUCACCCACAUAUAAUUCUAAGUUCACAUGAGUAUAUUUUAAUUAAUUGACAUGAAUUACUUCUAAUACAAGAUUUAUUAAUGAUUAAAUAAAUGAUUGAUUGUAUACAUUUA
rnacentral:lncRNA from 1 species